GAAAAAAAAAGCACUUCGGUUAAGUGCGAAUGCAAUCACUUGCUUUGUGUAUUUUUGCACAAUUGAAGUUUCACUGCUGUUAACUUUGCAAGAAACACCGCCAUUAUUGCGCUAACCCGAUGCACUGGCCGACGCUGCCGCCUGAUCGGCCUCAGCUGCUGCGCCAUUGUCACCGCCGCCGUUCCCGUUGCCGCCGCCACCACCGACUUCACCGUCACCACCCGCAGCACUGGCGUCACCACCAUCCCCAUUACCACUGGCGCCGGCACUGCUGUUCAAGGCGCUGUUCGACUGCGAGCCUGCAAAUGUUUGGUUGUCAAAAGAGAAACAGAGAGUAGAGUUGUUGUUGUUCCUGUUUGCAGCUACAAAGGCAUUCGCAAAAACACAUAGUAACAAAGACAGUGAUUGAAAGAGAGAGGAGGAGAGACAGAUCAAAAGAGAGAGCGUGCUAGCGCGCAACAAGUUCACAGAGAGCAUGCAAGUACAUGAGCAUGGAGAAGAAGAAGCAAAUACAUACAUACAACAACAGUUACAUAAAUCCCCCCGUCGCCCCACCACCCUUGCUGGCAAACAACAAAAACACAAAAUGUACAAAUGAAAUAAGGCGGAAAAAAAAAAUGAAUUCGUUUAAAUGUUUUUU